rnacentral:rRNA from 11 species
CUGCCAGUAGUCAUAUGCUUGUCUUAAGGAUUAAGCCAUGCAUGUCUCAGUAUAAACGAUUUUAUACGGUGAAACUGCGAAUGGCUCAUUACAACAGUUAUAGUUUAUUUGAUCGUGCGGUACUACGUGGAUAACCGUAGGAAUUCUAGAGCUAAUACAUGCCCCUUCAUUUUCGAAAUUUUUUUUUUUUACCUUCUUUUUCGGAAGAAUGGAAAAAAAAAAAUUAGAAAAUGGGAUUUAUUAGAUCAAAAACCAAUCGCUUUCGAGCGUGGCGGGAUGAAUCAUAAUAACUUUCCGAAUCGCAAGGCUACAAAUUAAGCCGGCGAUAUAUCAUUCAAAUUUCUGCCCUAUCA